rnacentral:rRNA from 1 species
UGAGGAAUUUUCCGCAAUGGGCGAAAGCCUGACGGAGCGACGCCGCGUGUGCGAUGAAAUCUUUCGGGAUGUAAAGCACUGUCGGCAGGGACGAUAUUGACAGUACCUGCAGAGGAAGGCCCGGCUAACUACGUGCCAGCAGCCGCGGUAAUACGUAGGGGCCAAGCGUUGUUCGGAAUUACUGGGCGUAAAGCGUAUGUAGGCAGCUUUGUAAGUCAGAUGUAAAAUCUCCCGGCUUAACCGGGAACCUGCAUUUGAAACUACUUUGCUAGAGAGUGGUAGAGGGAAGCGGAAUUUCCGGUGUAGCGGUGAAAUGCGUAGAUAUCGGAAGGAACACCAGUGGCGAAAGCGGCUUCCUGGACCACUUCUGACGCUAAGAUACGAAAGCUAGGGGAGCAAACGGG